rnacentral:rRNA from 1 species
GAUUAACGCUGGCGGUAUGCCUAAUACAUGCAAGUCGAACGAGAUUUAUGAUUAAGUUUCAAGUCCCAAGUUCCAAGUUUUGAGUUUAUCUUAAACACUUGUUACAUGGCACCUGAUACUUUAUUACAUUUCUAGUGGCGGACGGGUGAGUAACACGUUGGAACCUGCCCCAAAGUGAGGAAUAAGCCACCGAAAGGUGGUCUAAUACUUCAUAAUAUCCAUCUCGUAUGGAUUAAAGCUUUAUGCGCUUUGGGAGGGGCCUGCGUAACAUUAGCUAGUUGGUGAGGUAAAAGCUCACCAAGGCUUCGAUGUUUAACUGGUUUGAGAGGAUGACCAGUCACACUGGGACUGAGAUACGGCCCAGACUCCUACGGGAGGCAGCAGUAAGGAAUCUUCCACAAUGGGGGCAACCCUGAUGGAGCAAUACCGCGUGCAGGAUGAAGCGUUUCGGCGUGUAAACUGCUUUUAUCACCGAAGAUUAUGACUGUAGGUGAAGAAUAAGGACCGGCUAACUACGUGCCAGCAGCCGCGGUAAUACGUAGGGUCCAAGCGUUAUCCGGAAUUACUGGGCGUAAAGCGUCUGUAGGCGGCUUUUCAAGUCAGGUGCGAAAUCUUGCGGCUCAACCGUAUAGACUGUGCUUGAAACUGAUUAGCUAGAGGUAGGUAGAGGCAAGUGGAAUUUCUGGUGUAGGAGUGACAUCCGUAGAUAUCAGAAGGAACACCAAUGGCGAAGGCAGCUUGCUGGGCCUUACCUGACGCUCAGAGACGAAAGCGUGGGGAGCGAACGGGAUUAGAUACCCCGGUAGUCCACGCCGUAAACGAUGAUCACUAGUAGUAUGAAGAUUCGACCCUUUGUGCUACGAAGCUAACGCGAUAAGUGAUCCGCCUGGGGAGUACGAGCGCAAGCUUAAAACUCAAAGGAAUUGACGGGGACCCGCACAAGCAGAGGAGGAUGUGGUUUAAUUCGAAGCUAAGCGAAGAACCUUACCGAGGUUUGACAUCCCAGGAAUUUUGGCGAAAGCCAGAAGUGCCUUCGGGAACCUGGUGACAGAUGCUGCAUGGCCGUCGUCAGCUCGUGUCGUGAGAUGUUGGGUUAAGUCCCGCAACGAGCGCAACCCUCGUCGUCAGUUGUAUUUUCUGGCGAGACCGCCCGGGCCAACCGGGAGGAAGGUGGGGAUGACGUCUGGUCAGCAUGGCUCUUACACCUCGGGCUACACACGUCCUACAAUGGCCACUACAACGCGCUGCCAAACCGUAAGGUGGAGCAAAUCGCACCAAAAGUGGUCUCAGUUCGGAUUGAGGGCUGAAACUCGCCCUCAUGAAGCCGGAUUUGCUAGUAAUGGCAGGUCAGCCAUACUGCCGUGAAUACGUUCCCGGGUCUUGUACACACCGCCCGUCAAAUCACGAAAGUUAGGAGUACCCAAAGUAUCAGCUUGCUGGUCCUAAGGUAAAUCUAGCGAUUGGGGUU